ensembl:snoRNA
AAGUGAGAUGAUGGCAUACCAUCUUUCGGGACUGACCUGGAAUGGAGAUAAUUUGUAAUUGCUGAUCACUU